GCUUAGCCCUAAACUAAAAUAAUUAAAUAACAAAAUUAUUUGCCAGAGAACUACUAGCAACAGCUUAAAACUCAAAGGACUUGGCGGUACUUUAUAUCCAUCUAGAGGAGCCUGUUCUAUAAUCGAUAAACCCCGCUAUACCUCACCAUCUCUUGCUAAUUCAGCCUAUAUACCGCCAUCUUCAGCAAACCCUAAAAAGGUACUAAAGUAAGCACAAGAAUAGACAUAAAAACGUUAGGUCAAGGUGUAGCCAAUGAGAUGGGAAGAAAUGGGCUACAUUUUCUUCUUCAAGAACAAACGAAACCCUUUAUGAAACUAAAGGACAAAGGCGGAUUUAGUAGUAAAUUAAGAAUAGAGAGCUUAAUUG
rnacentral:rRNA from 1 species